GCCUUCGUGAUGUAGUGGUCAGCACGCUCGACGCGUAACCGAGAGGUCCGUGGUUCGAUUCCCGACGAAGGCG
rnacentral:tRNA from 1 species